rnacentral:rRNA from 1 species
AUGGCUCAGAUUGAACGCUGGCGGAAUGCUUACACAUGCAAGUCGAACGGUAGAGGGGCAACCCUUGAGAGUGGCGAACGGGUGAGUAAUAUAUCGGAACGUGCCCAGUCGUGGGGGAUAACGUAGCGAAAGUUACGCUAAUACCGCAUACGAUCUACGGAUGAAAGCGGGGGACUCGCAAGAGCCUCGCGCGAUUGGAGCGGCCGAUAUCAGAUUAGGUUGUUGGUGAGGUAAAAGCUCACCAAGCCGACGAUCUGUAGCUGGUUUGAGAGAACGACCAGCCACACUGGGACUGAGACACGGCCCAGACUCCUACGGGAGGCAGCAGUGGGGAAUUUUGGACAAUGGGCGAAAGCCUGAUCCAGCAAUGCCGCGUGCAGGAAGAAGGCCUUCGGGUUGUAAACUGCUUUUGUACGGAACGAAACGGUCCGCUUUAAUACAGUGGGCUAAUGACGGUACCGUAAGAAUAAGCACCGGCUAACUACGUG